rnacentral:rRNA from 1 species
UACGUAGGGGGCAAGCGUUGUCCGGAUUUAUUGGGCGUAAAGCGCGUGUAGGCGGCCAGGUAGGUCCGCUGUGAAAACCCGAGGCUCAACCUCGGGACGUCGGCGGAAACCAUUUGGCUAGAGUCCGGAAGAGGAGAGUGGAAUUCCCGGUGUAGCGGUGAAAUGCGCAGAUAUCAGGAAGAACACCAAUGGCGAAAGCAGCUUUCUGGGACGGUACUGACGCUGAGACGCGAAAGCGUGGGGAGCGAACAGG